rnacentral:rRNA from 1 species
UACGUAGGGGGCUAGCGUUGUCCGGAAUCAUUGGGCGUAAAGAGCGUGUAGGCGGUCCGGUAAGUCCGCUGUGAAAGUCGGGGGCUCAACCCUCGAAUGCCGGUGGAUACUGUCGGGCUAGAGUACGGAAGAGGCGAGUGGAAUUCCUGGUGUAGCGGUGGAAUGCGCAGAUAUCAGGAGGAGCACCAAUAGCGAAGGCAGCUCGCUGGGACGGUACUGACGCUGAGGCGCGAAAGCGUGGGGAGCGAACAGG